rnacentral:rRNA from 1 species
UUUUUGCAUAUUCCCAAAUAGCGGAGGAAAAGAAACCAACAGGGAUUGCCUCAGUAACGGCGAGUGAAGCGGCAACAGCUCAAAUUUGAAAUCUGGCCUCUUCGGGGCCCGAGUUGUAAUUUGUAGAGGAUGUUUCGGGUACCGCCUCGGUUUAAAUUUCUUGGAACAGAAUGUCAUAGAGGGUGAGAAUCCCGUCUUGGACCGGCGGUAGGGCCCAUGUGAAACUCCUUCGACGAGUCGAGUUGUUUGGGAAUGCAGCUCAAAAUGGGUGGUAAAUUUCAUCUAAAGCUAAAUAUUGGCCAGAGACCGAUAGCGCACAAGUAGAGUGAUCGAAAGAUGAAAAGAACUUUGAAAAGAGAGUUAAACAGUAUGUGAAAUUGUUGAAAGGGAAGCGCUGGCAACCAGACUUGAGCGCGGCGGUUCCCCCUUCCUUUUGGUUGGGUUACUCCGCCGUGUCCAGGCCAACAUCGGUUCUGGGGGUCGGUCAAAGGCCCGGGGAAUGUAUCUACUCCUUCGGGGGUAGACUUAUAGCCCCGGGUGUCAUGCGACCACCCGGGACCGAGGAACGCGCUUCGGCUCGGAUGUUGGCGUAAUGGUUGUCAGCGACCCGUCUUGACCCACCGGACCAAA